rnacentral:misc_RNA from 1 species
AAGUCGUAACAAGGUUUCCGUAGGUGAACCUGCGGAAGGAUCAUUACCGAGUUCUCGGGCUCCGGCUCGACUCUCCCACCCUUUGUGAACGUACCUCUGUUGCUUUGGCGGCUCGGGAGCAAUCCCGACCGCCGGAGGACCUUCAAACUCCAGUCAGCGAACGUCGACGUCUGAUAAACAAGUUAAUAAACUAAAA